UACAGAGGUCUCAAGCGUUGUUCGGAUUCAUUGGGCGUAAAGGGUGUGUAGGUGGCGCGCUAAGUCGGGUGUGAAAUUUCGGAGCUUAACUCCGAAACUGCAUUCGAUACUGGCGUGCUUGAGGACUGGAGAGGAGACUGGAAUUCAUGGUGUAGCAGUGAAAUGCGUAGAGAUCAUGAGGAAGACCAGUGGCGAAGGCGGGUCUCUGGACAGUUCCUGACACUGAGACACGAAGGCCAGGGGAGCGAACAGG
rnacentral:rRNA from 1 species